rnacentral:rRNA from 1 species
CCUACGGGAGGCAGCAGUGGGGAAUUUUGGACAAUGGACGCAAGUCUGAUCCAGCCAUUCCGCGUGCAGGAUGAAGGCCCUCGGGUUGUAAACUGCUUUUGUACGGAACGAAAAGGUUUCCAUUAAUACUGGGAGCUCAUGACGGUACCGUAAGAAUAUGCACCGGCUAACUACGUGCCAGCAGCCGCGGUAAU